UACGGGGGGAGCAAGCGUUGUUCGGAUUUACUGGGCGUAAAGGGCGCGUAGGCGGUGUAACAAGUCACUUGUGAAAUCUCCGGGCUUAACCCGGAGCGGCCAAGUGAUACUGUUGUGCUAGAGUGCGGAAGGGGCUACUGGAAUUCUCGGUGUAGCGGUGAAAUGCGUAGAUAUCGAGAGGAACACCUGCGGCGAAGGCGGGUAGCUGGGCCGACACUGACGCUGAGGCGCGAAAGCCAGGGGAGCGAACGGG
rnacentral:rRNA from 1 species